UAACUCCUGCUGUGUUUGUUAUGGCGCAUAAUUUUUCCCACAGAACAAAAACGGGAGAAUGUGUACUGCCGAUUGCUGUCAGGCCUCAGAAAUUUCACUGAUUGAAAAAUCAGACAGCGGGGGAAGACAAAAACGGCGUCAAUUCACCCACCUGCGUAAAGCGGGUAAAAGAUUAGCGUCAGACGGCAUAUGCGGGAUUCUU
rnacentral:other from 1 species